rnacentral:rRNA from 1 species
UACAGAGGUCCCAAGCGUUGUUCGGAUUCACUGGGCGUAAAGGGUGCGUAGGCGGUCGGGUAAGUCUGAUGUGAAAUCCCUCAGCUUAACUGGGGAACUGCGUCUGAUACUGGAUGGCUUGAGUUUGGGAGAGGGAUGCGGAAUUCCAGGUGUAGCGGUGAAAUGCGUAGAUAUCUGGAGGAACACCGGUGGCGAAGGCGGCAUCCUGGACCAACACUGACACUGAGGAGCGAAAGCCAGGGGAGCAAACGGG